CGAAGAAUUUCAGACUGUUUCCUUAAACCUUUCCUUACCUAUCAGUUCUGGGUUUUUAAAUUAAACGGUUGCCCAGCAUAGCAUUUUAAAACCUAACCUGUUAAAGCUAACAGUCCUUUUCCUGAGACACACAUUAUCUGGACCACCAGUUCCUCUGGACAUUCAUUUCUGCGUUCAUUUUAUGCCCAGGAUUUCAUGACCGGCUUUUGAGGGCUAGGGCACCUACACCUCCUUCACUCUGCUCUGGCUUCAUCGGCUGAAUGGACACCACACUCAGAGCCAAGAUCAAACCACCCACAGGAAGCAGGGCACUGAGAACCCAAUAUAAAGGAAACUUCAUACACAGGAAGGCUGCCUAAGCCUCCCACAGGUGCUCUCCUGACUCCUCAGAAGAAACAGUAGCUCCACCCCUUGACUGGAUACUGAACAGAGGACCUCACACAAGCCUAUCAUGCACUCUACCAUUAAGUAGACACCCAAGUGUUGCUGAUUUGUGCAUGAGUGACCUUCAUGUUCAAUUUUAAGUAAGCAACAACUGUAACAGCAGUACAUACGAUACCUCAUACCGAGCCUUCUCUCACCUGUGGGACGUUCUACCCAGUCUCACACUGACAUCUCAGGCUGAAACUCUCCCAAAGCCCCAUCCUUCCGGUAAGAUGGACACAUUCCAGCCAAUGAUGCAGCCUUCCUACCCGGUUUCUGUUAGAAAUGACUCCCGCUUCUGCCCCUUUCAUCUCUUUGGGGGCAGGAGCCACACCACUCCACACUCACAGAUCAUCUGCGACACUCAGAAGAUGAGAAACUCGCUGCUAUAUUUCAGCUUGCUUCAUUAAAAACAACUCUAGGCACUACAAAGUGUGUGUUAUUAAUAUGCAUAUGUGGUAUCUCAGAGGCAGCACUGCCUUUAAGGUGUCUUUUCAGCAGGACAACAUUUUCCCAUGUGAGGCGGGGAACAGUGAAUCAUAUGUGUGGGAGGGAAAAGCCCGUGGGCUAUGUACAGUACUCAUUCCCUUUGUGCCUCACUUCCCUCUCCCCUUCGCCCCCUCCCACCCACUUUAUUAAUGGUUUCUGCAAUUACUGGUAACAGUGCCUUGCCAGCAAAGAAAAAUCAGUGACUGUCUGACAGAUUGUCGGAAGGAGGGGCAAGAAAGGUUGUCGGUGAAGAGAGAUGAGGGGAUCGGUGGUACGAAAUGGAGUUUCUGAAGGCAGUGGACCCUAGGAUGUGUGGAGGUCAGAAAUCAGAUUGGAUAGCUUCUCUAUGCUCUGGCAUCUGACGUUUUAUAAAUAAAAAGGGGGUUCUCAAGGAGGAAAGGUCACCCUAGAGCAUACCCCACAUUAACUAAUGAUGUUUCUCAGGAGAGGUGGAGCAGGAAACAAGGUAGAGUGUAUCCAGUAGAGGAUAAAAGAGACACACGUUUUAUGGUUCAGACACCCGAUGAAUACAUCUGUCUUCCUUCUUUUGAGUUGUUGCUUAGUACAUAAGGGAAAGAACUCAUAUUAAGGCCAGACUAGACAGUGGAUCUUUGAAAGAAGCAUCAUAUCAAAUAGAUAAAUAAUAAUUUCUUGGAAGAAUAUGGAGAAAUGCCUUUAACAUUUUAGUUUGGGCCAUUAGAUUUGACAGUGGACAGUUUGGUCUGAUUAAAGGCAUUUACUUUCCUACUACCGUGGCAGAACCGAAUUCUGAAAUUGUCCACAGCUUAGAUCAGACUAAAAUUAUUUUGCCUGCCAGAAUAACCAAACUGCUCUUAAAACCAGAAUAUUAAGAGUCUUUCUAAGAAUGUUUCUAUUUAUUAGUCUUCUGCAAACUUGCAGAUUUUGUGUGUGCAGUCGAUAUUAUGGUGUGAUGUAUUUGAAAUGACUCAACAGAGACAGUUGGGUAAAAAUAGAAAUUACUAUUCUUGCAAUGGAAAAUCUCCAUCAUCAUCAGUAUGGACGGUAUUUACGGCGUAUCUUACUAUAUUUAAAUAAAAUACAUGACAAAAUAGUCACAACAUCACUAGUUUUUCAAACUACUGUUGUUAAAGAUUUUAGGAUAUAUGUAAAUAUACAUACUAAAAUUGUAUGAACUCAAUUUGCUGUUAUUUCAAAGUUGUGUGAAAUUAAAGAAAGCAUG